AUUGAACGCUGGCGGCAGGCCUAACACAUGCAAGUCGGACGAGUGGCGGAAGGGUGAGUAAUGUCGGGGGAACUGCCUGAUGGAGGGGGAUAACGACUGGCAACGGUAGCUCAUACAGCAUACCAACAGCUGAACCCAUAUGGGAUUGGAUAGUAUGUGAGGUAAAGGCUCACCUAGGCGACGAUCCCUAGCUGGUCUGAGAGGAUGAUCACCCACACGGGGCCUGAUACACGGCCCAGACGCCUACGGUAGGCAGCAGUGGGUAAUAUUGCACACUGGGCGCAAGCCUGAUGCAUCCAUGCCGCGUGUAUGAAGAAGGCCUUCGGGUUGUAAAGUACUUUCAGUCGUGAGGCGUUACCGACAGAAGAAGCACCGGCUAACUCCGUGCCAGCAGCCGCGGUAAUAC
rnacentral:rRNA from 1 species